AGUGAGAGAUUUCUCACUCUCUCUAAAAUGGCAAGGGAUGUGCUAGCAGUUCCUAUAUCCACUGUUGCCUCAGAAAGUGCAUUUAGUACUAGUGGAAGGGUAUUAGAUGCAUAUAGGAGUUCCUUAACUCCUAAAAUUGUAGAAGCCCUAGUAUGUGCACAAGACUGGUUGAGGUUACCAAAUCAACCAGUAUAAAUCGAAGAAAAUAUUGAUGGUGUUUAAAGGCUUGAACAAGAGUUUGCCACUAGAAGUACAGGACCUGGGACUGCUGGUUCUUCCCUUCCUACCAUUCCUGUAAUAUAUUAUUUUUGAUUAUUUCAACUUGCAGUC